UACAGAGGUGGCAAGCGUUGUUCGGAAUUACUGGGCGUAAAGCGCACGUAGGCGGCUUUGUAAGUUAGAGGUGAAAGCCCGGGGCUCAACUCCGGAAUUGCCUUUAAGACUGCAUCGCUAGAAUUGUGGAGAGGUAAGUGGAAUUCCGAGUGUAGAGGUGAAAUUCGUAGAUAUUCGGAAGAACACCAGUGGCGAAGGCGACUUACUGGACACAUAUUGACGCUGAGGUGCGAAAGCGUGGGGAGCAAACAGG
rnacentral:rRNA from 1 species